AUCGAACGCUGGCGGCAGGCCUAACACAUGCAAGUCGAACGAGCGGCGGACGGGUGUGUAAUGUAUGGUGAACGCCCGAUAGCGGCGGAUAACUACUGGAAAAGGUAUCUAAUACCGCAUACUAUCGGAUAACCCAUAUGGGAUUAGCUAGUAGGUGAGGUAAUGGCUCACCUAGGCGACGAUGCCUAGCUGGUCUGCGAGAUUGAUCAGCCACACUGGGACUGAGACACGGCCCAGACUCCUACGGAGGCAGCAGUAGGGAAUGUUGGGCAAUGGGCGGAAGCCUGAUGCAGCAAUGCCGCGUGUAUGAAGCAGGCCUUCGGGUUGUAAAAUGCUUUCAGUCGGGAGGCGUUACCGACAAAAGAAGCACCGGCUAACUCCGUGCCAGCCGCCGCGGUAAUUC
rnacentral:rRNA from 1 species